CACGAUGUGGUGGACUUCGGUCCUAAAGUUGGUGAUCCCAUGCUUACAAGAAAAGCCGCUAAACGUUGAAGCAGAUUAGACCGUACCGUAAACCGACUCAGGUGGGCAGGGAGAGAAUCCUAAGGUGUUUGAGUGAAACCAGGUUAAGGAACUCGGCAAAUUGCCACUGUAACUUCGGGAUAAAGUGGGCCAGCAAGGUGAAGGACUUCGCGUCCGUAAGCCUAGUCUGGUUGCAGAGAAGAGGGGGUAGCGACUGUUUAUCAAAAACACAGCACUGUGCUAACUCGCAAGAGGAUGUAUACUGUGUGACGCCUGCCCGGUGCUGGAAGGUUAAGAGGAGGUGUUAGCGCAAGCAAAGCUCCGAAUCGAAGCCCCAGUAAACGGCGGCCGUAACGAUAACGGUCCUAAGGUAGCGAAAUUCCUUGUCGGGUAAGUUCCGACCUGCACGAAUGGCGUAACGACUUCCCCGCUGUCUCAACCUGGUGCUCAGCGAAUUUGAAAAACCAGUGCAGAUGCUGGUUACCCGCAGUAAGACGGAAAGACCCCGUGAACCUUUACUAUAGCUUGGCACUGGCAUUCGGAUUUGUCUGUGUAGGAUAGGUGGGAGACUUUGAAGCUGGUCCGCUAGGAUCAGUGGAGUCAUCAGUGAAAUACCACCCUGUUGAAUUUGGAUGUCUAACCUAGUCCCGUAAUCCGGGAUGGGGACAGUGUCUGGUGGGUAGUUUGACUGGGGCGGUCGCCUCCAAAAGAGUAACGGAGGCGCGCAAAGGUUCCCUCAGGCCGGAUGGAAAUCGGUCGCAGAGUGCAAACGCAUAAGGGAGCUUAACUGCGAGACUGACAGGUCGAGCAGGUACGAAAGUAGGUGUUAGUGAUCCGGUGGUCCCGCAUGGAAGGGCCAUCGCUCAACGGAUAAAAGGUACUCCGGGGAUAACAGGCUGAUCUCCUCCAAGAGUUCACAUCGACGAGGAGGUUUGGCACCUCGAUGUCGGCUCAUCACACCCUGGGGCUGAAGCAGGUCCCAAGGGUUUGGCUGUUCGCCAAUUAAAGUGGUACGCGAGCUGGGUUCAGAACGUCGUGAGACAGUUCGGUCCCUAUCUACUGUGGGCGCAGGAUAUUUGAGAGGCUCUGACCUUAGUACGAGAGGACCGGGUUGGACACACCUCUAGUGUACCAGUUGUCACGCCAGUGGCACGGCUGGGUAGCUAUGUGUGGAUGGGAUAACCGCUGAAAGCAUCUAAGUGGGAAGCCCGCCUCAAGAUAAGAUAUCCCUGACUUCGGUCCUGAAGGCCCGUCCAAGACCAGGACGUUGAUAGGCUGGAGGUGGAAGUGUAGUAAUACACGGAGCUGACCAGUACUAAUCGGCCGUGAGGCU
rnacentral:rRNA from 1 species